rnacentral:rRNA from 1 species
GGGACACGUGGUAUCCUGUCUGAAUAUGGGGGGACCAUCCUCCAAGGCUAAAUACUCCUGACUGACCGAUAGUGAACCAGUACCGUGAGGGAAAGGCGAAAAGAACCCCGGCGAGGGGAGUGAAAAAGAACCUGAAACCGUGUACGUACAAGCAGUGGGAGCACGCUUAGGCGUGUGACUGCGUACCUUUUGUAUAAUGGGUCAGCGACUUAUAUUCUGUAGCAAGGUUAACCGAAUAGGGGAGCCGAAGGGAAACCGAGUCUUAACUGGGCGUUAAGUUGCAGGGUAUAGACCCGAAACCCGGUGAUCUAGCCAUGGGCAGGUUGAAGGUUGGGUAACACUAACUGGAGGACCGAACCGACUAAUGUUGAAAAAUUAGCGGAUGACUUGUGGCUGGGGGUGAAAGGCCAAUCAAACCGGGAGAUAGCUGGUUCUCCCCGAAAGCUAUUUAGGUAGCGCCUCGUGAAUUCAUCUCCGGGGGUAGAGCACUGUUUCGGCAAG